rnacentral:lncRNA from 1 species
UCUCUCUCUACAACCUUCCUUCUUCUUCAUAAUAUCUCUGCAAUUUCCAGUUUAUUUACAAAGAAAAUCACAAAAAAUAGUUGGGUUCACUACAAUAGGAUACUUGCAAGGGGAAGAAACAACCUUAAUUUGACAAUUAAUGAACAAAAGAGAGUGAAUCUACCUAUAAUAUUUAGGAGAGAAGAAAUUAUACAAGAAAAUGCUUCAAACAACAGUCCUAUACACUGAAACAUCUAAGAACUUUAAUUUUUUCAAAUUAAAUAUUUAACUUAUAUUGUUGCCUUACCCUGUUGAGUUCCUACUCAGUUGAUCAUCCUCUGUUAAUAACAGCUUAUNGUGGGACAUUCUU